AUUGGCUACAAUUUUGUCCUCCCUUAUGGUAUUAUUUUGCCUGGACCCUGACCUUAACCUAUGAACAUUAAGGAGCAACUGACAAGUAAAUAAGCAAUACUGUAUGUUCCCUUCUUUUCUGAACUUGUCAGAGUGCCUAGGUUUUGCCUAAUCGGAUGAGCAAAUAUAUGUUUUUCAUUGGGAACUUGAUCUUGUCUUUUUAGAACAUCAGAGCAGCCUACAUGAUUUUCCUGUUUAUAUACAAAUUACAGAGGCAGGGAGGAG
rnacentral:lncRNA from 7 species